GGCAGACGGGUGAGUAACGCGUGGGAACGUACCUUUUGCUACGGAAUAACUCAGGGAAACUUGUGCUAAUACCGUAUGUGCCCUUCGGGGGAAAGAUUUAUCGGCAAAGGAUCGGCCCGCGUUGGAUUAGCUAGUUGGUGAGGUAAAGGCUCACCAAGGCGACGAUCCAUAGCUGGUCUGAGAGGAUGAUCAGCCACACUGGGACUGAGACACGGCCCAGACUCCUACGGGAGGCAGCAGUGGGGAAUAUUGGACAAUGGGCGCAAGCCUGAUCCAGCCAUGCCGCGUGAGUGAUGAAGGCCCUAGGGUUGUAAAGCUCUUUCACCGGUGAAGAUAAUGACGGUAACCGGAGAAGAAGCCCCGGCUAACUUCGUGCCAGCAGCCGCGGUAAUACGAAGGGGGCUAGCGUUGUUCGGAUUUACUGGGCGUAAAGCGCACGUAGGCGGACUUUUAAGUCAGGGGUGAAAUCCCGGGGCUCAACCCCGGAACUGCCUUUGAUACUG
rnacentral:rRNA from 1 species